UGGCAAACAUCACAUCCAUGGUACGGUUAGUAGCUCCCUGCAAAAGACAGCAGCCUCUCAAUAAUGGUUCCUCCAAAAAUCUGACAGAAAAGAUUAGGGUCCUUUGGCAAGAUCUUACGGAGGAUGGCGGUGGGUUAUUUUGAGGCCUCUUUUUGUCAUUCAACUUACAUACUGCAACAGAAUGAGCAAACUUAUGUGAGAUUAUUUGCAAUUUCUCCUUCAUUGGAAAGGAUUUAGAAGAUUGGCGGAUUUACCUCCACUUUCAGGAGGCUGGAGGGAUGCUUUGUUGCAUAGACCACUCCAGCUCAGUGCCCCCG
rnacentral:lncRNA from 1 species